UAACCUGCCCAAGAGAUCGGGAUAACACCUGGAAACAGAUGCUAAUACCGGAUAACAACAGAUGAUGCCUAUCAACUGUUUAAAAGAUGGUUCUGCUAUCACUCUUGGAUGGACCUGCGGUGCAUUAGCUAGUUGGUAGGGUAACGGCCUACCAAGGCGAUGAUGCAUAGCCGAGUUGAGAGACUGAUCGGCCACAUUGGGACUGAGACACGGCCCAAACUCCUACGGGAGCAGCAGAC
rnacentral:rRNA from 1 species